rnacentral:rRNA from 1 species
GACGAACCGUGCGAACGUUGUUCGGAAUCACUGGGCUUAAAGGGCGCGUAGGCGGGCGGCCGCGUCCGGGGUGAAAUCCCACGGCUCAACCGUGGAACGGCCUCGGAUACGGGCGGGCUCGAGGGGGGUAGGGGCAUCUGGAACUGUGAGUGGAGCGGUGAAAUGCGUUGAUAUUCACAGGAACUCCGGUGGCGAAGGCGAGGUGCUGGACCCCAUCUGACGCUGAGGCGCGAAAGCCAGGGGAGCGAACGGG